rnacentral:rRNA from 1 species
GAUGAACGCUAGCGGCAGGCCUAAUACAUGCAAGUCGAACGGUAAGGUCCCGCUUGCGGGAUACACGAGUGGCGCACGGGUGAGUAACGCGUAUGCAACCUACCUUUAACUGGAGGAUAGCCCCGAGAAAUCGGGAUUAAUACUUCAUAAUAAUAUAAAACGACAUCGUUUAAUAUUUAAAGCUCCGGCGGUUAAAGAUGGGCAUGCGUGACAUUAGAUAGUUGGUGAGGUAACGGCUCACCAAGUCAGCGAUGUCUAGGGGUUCUGAGAGGAUUAUCCCCCACACUGGUACUGAGACACGGACCAG